UCCAUUGUUGCAAGUAUUAUUAUAACAUACGUGCAUGAUAAAUCAAGUGGGGGAGUCACUAUGGGUGGUGGGUCCUGUUAAUCUUAAAUAUAAAAAAAAAUAAUUUUAUUUGUUCCAAAAAGAAUUAAAUUCAUUUGCAAUGCAGAAAAAUAAAUAAGUUUUUGUAACACUGUCCCAGUUUGCCUUCCGCUUUCUAUGUUAUAUCUGGCUGUAUGUGCUCUUUAAUAACAAAGUUUUUUCUUAGCAGCUUCAAAACCUUGUCAUGAGUGAUCACAGAGAAAAAAUACUUAAACUCUAAAAGGUUUGUUAAAGAACAAGCUAUUAUGUUUACGUUGUAAACAAGCCGCAUUCCCAAUCCAAGACCCCGUGUUGUUACAAGUGUAUAUCAUGUUGCUUCCAAGGGUUGGAGAAUAUCUGUCGUUACAAGUAUGAUAAUAACAUACAUGCGUGAUAAAUCAAGUGGGUGAGUAACUAUAAGAGGUGGGUCCUGUUAAUCUUAAAUAUUUAUGCCCCCCUUCAAAGAAGAGGGGGUAUAUUGUUUUGCUCAUGUCGGUAGGUCGGUCUGUCCGUCCACCAGAUGGUUUCCGGAUGAUAACUCAAGGGAUCAUGAAACUUCAUAGGUACAUUGAUCAUGACUGGCAGAUGACCCCUAUUGAUUUUCAGGUCACUAGGUCAAAGGUCAAGGUCACAGUAACAAAAACCGUAUUCACACAAUGGCUGCCACUACAACUGACAGCCCAUAUGGAGGGCAUGCAUGUUUUGUAAACAGCCCUUGUUUUAUUUUUGUAUUUAUUUGUUCCGGAUUUCCCCAUUUCGUUACAUGUGUAAAUCAUGUAGCUUCCAAGGGUAGAUGAAAAUCCAUUGUUGCAAGUAUGGUUAAAACAUUCUUGCAUGAUAAAUCAAGUGGGGGAGUCACUAUGGGAGGUGGGUCCUGUUAAUCUUAAAUAUUAAAAAAAAUAAUUUUUUAUUUGUUCCAAAAAGAAUUAAAUUCAUUUUCAAUGCAGAAAAAUAAAUAAGUUUUUGUAACACUGUCCCGGUUUGCCUUCCGCUUUCUAUGUUAUAUCUGGCUGUAUGUGCUCUUUAAUAACAAAGUUUUUUCUUAGGAGCUUCAAAACCUUGUCAUGAGUGAUCCCAGAGAAAAAAAUACUUAAACUCUUAUAAGAUUUGUUAAAGAACAAGCUAUUAUGUUUACGUUGUAAACAAGCCACAUUCCCGAUCCAUUACCCAGUGUUGUUACAAGUGUAUUUCAUGUUGCUUCCCAGGGUAGGAGAAAAUCCGUCGUAACAAGUAUGAUAAUAACAUACAUGCGUGAUAAAUCAAGUGGGCGAGUCACUAUAAGAGGUGGGUCCUGUUAAUCCUAAAUAUUUAUGCCCCCCUUCAAAGAAGAGGGGGUAUAUUGUUUUGCUCAUGUCUGUAGGUCGGUCUGUCCGUCCACCAGAUGGUUUCCGGAUGAUAACUCAAGGGAUCAUGAAACUUCAUAGGUACAUUGAUCAUGACUGGCAGAAGACCCCUAUUGAUUUUCAGGUCACUAGGUCAAAGGUCAAGGUCACAGUAACAAAAACCGUGUUCACACAAUGGCUGCCACUACAACUGACAGCCCAUAUGGAGGGCAUGCAUGUUUUACAAACAGCCCUUGUUUUAUUUUUGUAUUCAUUCGUUCCAGAUUUCCCCAUUUCGUAACAUGUGUAAAUCAUGUAGCUUCCAAGGGUAGAUGAAAAUCCAUUGUUGCAAGUAUGGUUAUAACAUACGUGCAUGAUAAAUCAAGUGGGGGAGUCACUAUGGGAGGUGGGUCCUGUUAAUCUUAAACAUUAAAAAAAAAUAAAAUAAUUUGUUCCAAAAAGAAUUAAAUUCAUUUGCAAUGCAGAAAAAUAAAUAAGUUUUUAUAACACUGUCUUGGUUUGCCUUCCGCUUUCUAUGUUAUAUCUGGCUGUAUGUGCUCUUUAAUAACAAAUUGUUUUCUUAGCAGCUUCAAAACCUUGUUAUUAGUGAUCACAGAGAAAAAAAUACUUAAACUCUUAUAAGAUUUGUUAAAGAACAAUCUAUUAUGUUAACGUUGUAAACAAGCCGCAUUUCCUAUCCAUUACCCCGUGUUGUCACAAGUGUAAAUCAUGUUGCUUCUCAGGGUAGGAGAAAAUCCGUCGUCACAAGUAUGAUUAUUAUGCCCCCCUUCGAAGAAGAGGGGGUAUAUUGCUUUGCUCAUGUCGGUCGGUCUGUCGGUCCGUCCACCAGGUGGUUGUCAGACGAUAACUCAAGAACGCUUGGGCCUAGGAUCAUGAAACUUCAUAGGUACAUUGAUCAUGACUCGCAGAUGACCCCUAUUGAUUUUGAGGUCAAUAGGUCAAAGGUCAAGGUCACGGUGACCCGAAAUAGUAAAAUGGUUUUUUAAUGAUAACUCAAGAACGCAUAUGCCUAGGAUCAUGAAACUUCAUGGGUAGAUUGAUCAUGACUUGCAGAUGACCCCUAUUGAUUUUGAGGUCACUAGGUCAAAGGUCAAGGUCACGGUGACCCGAAAUAGUAAAAUGGUUUCCGGAUGAUAAUUUAAGAAUGCAUACGCCUAGGAUCAUGAAACUUCAUGGGUAGAUUGAUCAUGACUCGCAGAUGACCCCUAUUGAUUUUGAGGUCACUAGGUCAAAGGUCAAGGUCACGGUGACCCGAAAUAGUAAAAUGGUUUUCGGAUGAUAACUCAAGAACGCAUAUGCCAAGGAUCAUGAAACUUCACAGGUAGAUUGAUCAUGACUCGCAGAUGACCCCUAUUGAUUUUUAGGUCACAAGGUCAAAGGUCAAGGUCACGGUGACCCGAAAUAGUAAAAUGAUUUUCGGAUGAUAACUCAAGAACACUUUUGCGUAGGAUCAUGAGACUUCAUAGGUACAUUGAUCGGACUCACAGAUGACCCAUAUUGAUUUUCAGGUCACUAGGUCAAAGGUCAAGGUCACAGUGACAAAAAACGUUUUCACACAAUGGCUGCCACUACAACGGACAGCCCAUAUGGGGUCAUGCAUGUUUUACAAACAGCCCUUGUAACAUAUGUGCGUGAUAAAUCAAGUGGUUGAGUCACUAUAAGACGUGAGUCCCGUUAAUCCUAAAUAUUUAUGCCCUCCUUCAAAAAAGAGCGGGUAUAUUGUUUUGCUCAUGUCGGUAGGUCGGUGAGUCCGUCCACCAGAUGGUUUCGGGAUGAUAACUCAAGGGAUCAUGAAACUUCAUAAGUACAUUGAUCAUGACUGGCAAAUGACCCCUAUUGAUUUUCAGGUAACUAGGUCAAAGGUCAAGGUCACAGUGACUCUAAAUAGUAAAAUGGUUUCCCAAUGAUUACUUAAGAACGCUUAGGCCUAGGAUCAUGAAACUUCAUAGGUAGAUUGAUCAUGACUGGCUGAUGACCUCUAUUGAUUUUCAGGUCACUAGGUCAAAGGUCAAGGUCACAUUGACUCGAAAUAGUAAACUGGUUUCCGGAUGAUAACUCAAGAAUGCUUACACCUAGGAUCAUGAAACUUCAUAGGUACAUUGAUCAUUACUGGCUGAUGACCCCUUUUGAUUUUCAGAUCACUAAGUCAAAGGUCAAGGUCACAGUGACUGGAAACAGUAAAAUGGUUUCCGGAUGAUAACUCAAGAAUGCUUACGCCUAGGAUCAUGAAUCUUCAUAGGUACAUUGAUCACGACUGGCAGAUGACCCCUAUUGAUUUUCAGGUCACUAUGUCAAAGGUCAAGGUCACAGUAACAAAAACCGUAUUCACACAAUGGCUGCCACUACAACUGACAGCCCAUAUGGGGGACAUGCAUGUUUUACAAACAGCCCUUGUUUUAUUUUUGUAUUCAUUUGUUCCAGAUUUCCCCAUUUCAUUACAUGUGUAAAUCAUGUAGCUUCCAAGAGUAAAUGGAAAUCCAUUGUUGCAAGUAUGGUUAUAACAUACGUGCAUGAUAAAUCAAGUGGGGGAGUCACUAUGGGAGGUGGGUCCUGUUAAUCUUAAAUAUUUAAAAAAAAAAAUUGUAUUUGUUCCAAAAAGAUUUAAAUUCAUUUGCAAUGCAGAAAAAUAAAUAAGUUUUUGUAACACCGUUCCGGUUUGCCUUCCGCUUUUUAUGUUAUAUUUGGCUGUAUGUGCUCUUUAAUAACAAAGUUUUUUCUUAGGAGCUUCAAAACCUUGUCAUGAGUGAUCACAGAGAAAAAAAUACUUAAACUCUUAUAAGAUUUGUUAAAGAACAAGCUAUUAUGUUAACGUUAUAAACAAACUGCAUUCCCAAUCCAAGACCCCGUGUUGUCACAAGUGUAUAUCAUGUAGCUUCCAAGGGUUGGAGAAAAUCCGUUGUUUCACUUAUGAUGAUAACAUACGUGCGUAAUAAAUAAAGAGGGUGAGUCACUAUAAGAGGUGGGUCCUGUUAAUCCUAAAUAUUUAUGCCCCCCUUCGAAGAAGAGGGGGUAUAUUGUUUUGCUCAUGUCGGUAGGUCUGUCUGUCCGUCCACUAGAUGGUUUGUGGAUGAUAACUCAAGGGAUCAUGAAACUUCAUAGGUAUAUUGAUCAUGACUGGCAGAUGACCCCUAUUGAUUUUCAGGUCACUAGGUCAAAGGUCACAGUGACUCGAAAUAGUAAAAUGGUCUCCGGAUGAUAAGUCAAGAACGCUUAGGCCUAGGAUCAUGAAACUUCAUAGGUAGAUUGAUCAUGACUGGCAGAUGACCUCUAUUGAUUUUCAGGUCACUAGGUCAAAGGUUAAGAUCACAGUGACUUGAAAUAGUAAAAUGGUUUCCGGAUAAUAACUCAAGAAUGCUUAGGCCUAGGAUCAUGAAACUUCAUAGGUAGAUUGAUCAUGACUGGCAGAUUACCCUAUUGAUUUUCAGGUCACUAGGUCAAAGGUCAAGGUCACAGUGACUCGAAAAAGUAAACUGGUUUCCGGAUGAUAACUCAAGAAUGCUUACGCCUAGGAUCAUGAAACUUCAUAAGUACAUUGAUCAUUACUGGCAGAUGACCCCUUUUGAUUUUCAGAUCACCAAGUCAAAGGUCAAGGUCACAGUGACUCGAAACAGUAAAAUGGUUUCCGGAUGAUUACUCAAGAAUGCUUAUGCCUAGGAUCAUGAAACUUCAUAGGUAUAUUGAUCAUGACUGGCAGAUGACCCCUAUUGAUUUUCAGGUCACUAGGUCAAAGGUCAAAGCCACAGUAACAAAAAACGUAUUCACACAAUGGCUGCCACUACAACUUACAGCCCAUAUGGGGGACAUGCAUGUUUUACCAACAGCCCUUGUUUUAUUUUUGUAUUCAUUUGUUCCAGAUUUCCUCAUUUCGUUACAUGUGUAAAUCAUGUAGCUUCCAAGGGUAGAUGAAAAUCCAUUGUUGCAAGUAUGGUUAUAACAUUCUUGUGUGAUAAAUCAAGUGGGGGAGUCACUAUGGGAGGUGGGUCCUGUUAAUCUAAAAUAUAUAAAAAAAAAAAAAAUAAUUUGUUCCAAAAACAAUUAAAUUCAUUUGCAAUGCAGAAAAAUAAAUAAGUUGUUGUAACACUGUCCCGGUUUUCCUUCCGCUUUCUAUGUUAUAUCUGGCUGUAUGUGCUCUUUAAUAACAAAGUUUUUUCUUAGGAGCUUCAAAACCUUGUCAUGAGUGAUCACAGAGAAAAAAAUACUUAAACUCUUAUAAGAUUUGUUAAAGAACAAGCUAUUAUGUUUGCGUUGUAAACAAGCCGCAUUCCCAAUCCAUUACCCAGUGUUGUUACAAGUGUAUUUCAUGUUGCUUCCUAGGGUAGGAGAAAAUCCGUCGUAACAAGUAUGAUAAUAACAUACAUGCGUGAUAAAUCAAGUGGGUGAGUCACUAUUAGAGGUGGGUCCUGUUAAUCCUAAAUAUUUAUGCCCCCCUUCAAAGAAGAGGGGGUAUAUUGUUUUGCUCAUGUAGGUAGGUCGGUCCGUCCGUCCACCAGAUGGUUUCCGGAUGAUAACUCAAGGGAUCAUGAAACUUCAUAGGUACAUUGAUCAUGACUGGCAGAUGACCCCUAUUGAUUUUCAGGUCACUAGGUCAAAGGUCAGAGUGACUCGAAAUAGUAAAAUGGUUUCCCAAUGAUAACUUAAGAACGCUUAGGCCUAGGAUCAUGAAACUUCAUAGGUAGAUUGAUCAUGACUGGCAUUUGACCUCUAUUGAUUUUCAGAUCACUAGGUCAAAGGUAAAGGUCACAAUGACUUGAAAUAGUAAAAUGGUUGUCAGAUGAUAACUCAAGAAUGCUUAGGCCUAGGAUCAUGAAACUUCACAGAUGACCCUAUUGAUUUUCAGGUAAUUAGGUCAAAGGUCAAGGUCACAGUGACACAAAAUAGUAAACUGGUUUCCGGAUGAUAACUCAAGAAUGCUGACGCCUAGGAUCAUGAAACUUCAUAGGUACAUUGAUCAUUACUGGCAGAUGACCCCUUUUGAUUUUCAGAUCACUAAGUCAAAGGUCAAGGUCUUAGUGACUGGAAACAGUAAAAUGGUGUCCGAAUGAUAACUCAAGAAUGCUUACGCCUAGGAUCAUGAAACUUCAUAAGUACAUUGAUCAUGACUGGCAGAUGAUUUCUAUUGAUUUUCAGGUCACUAGGACAAAGGUCAAGGUCACAGUAACAAAAACCGUAUUCACACAAUGGCUGCCACUACAACUGACAGCCCAUAUGGGGGGCAUGCAUGUUUUACAAACAGCCCUUGUUUUAUUUUUGUAUUCAUUUGUUCCAACUUUCCCCAUUUCGUUACAUGUGUAAAUCAUGUAGCUACCAAGGGUAGAUGAAAAUCCAUUGUUGCAAGUAUGGUUAUAACAUAAGUGCAUGAUAAAUCAAGUGGGGCAGUCACUAUGAGAGGUGGGUCCUGUUAAUCUUAAAUAAAAAAAAAAAAAAUUCAAUUUGUUCCAAAAAGAAUUAAAUUCAUUUGCAAUUCAGAAAAAUAAAUAAGUUUUUGUAACACUGUCCCAAUUUGCCUUCCGCUUUCUAUGUUAUAUCUGGCUGUAUGUGCUCUUUAAUAACAAAGUUUUUUCUUAGCAGCUUCAAAACCUUGUCAUGAGUGAUCACAGAGAAAAAAAUACUUAAACUCUAAAAGGUUUGUUAAAGAACAAGCUAUUAUGUUUACGUUGUAAACAAGCCGCAUUCCCAAUCCAAGACCCCGUGUUGUUACAAGUGUAUAUCAUGUAGCUUCUCAGGGUAGGAGAAAAUCCGUCGUAACAAGUAUGAUAAUAACAUACGUGCGUGAUAAUGUUAGGACCCAGUCCGCGCGUUUACAGUAAUAUGAUGUGGAUUUCGUUAUGUGUUUUCAAUAAAACCAAAACCGAAGAGCCUUUCCAUGUAUUUUUAUUCUCCAGCAAGAAAUGCAUCUUAAAGAAAUGUUAAUGUUGUAAUAUAAAAUUCAAAUGUGUACUAUAUAUGUAUUCAAUAUUUUACUCUAUGUUUCAAUAGUUUUAUUUUACUAGAUUUAACAAAGUUCGCUUACUGAAAUUGUAAAUUAAUGUUGAAUGGGAGAUGUUACCCAAAUGUUCGUUAGUUCAGUUAUGAGAAAAUCUCAGCUUUAUAUACUACUGAGAAGGCACACUGCGCCUUGUGCCGGGCACAUCGGCACACUGCGCCAGGCACAUGGCUUAAUGCGCCCGACACACGACACAGUGCGCUUACCACAACAAAUUUUGUGCCGGAUGCAGCUAUGCCUUAACAGGUGCUCAUAGAAACUUUAAGAAAGUUGCCAAACAUUCAAGUUCUACAAUACAAUACAAUCAUAAAUAACAACAAUAGCCUAAGAUAUUUCAAUCACCUCAAAAGAGCGUUUUGUGCCGCUACAAUUUGAAAACAUUUCCUUUAAGACUAUUUAAAAUCAAUGGUGAACGCUUGUAGAAUAACCUGCAACCUGGCAACGACAAUCGGGUACAGUAAAAAUCAAGAUGGCUGCCAGUUCAUCCACAACAACAUGUGUUAGAGCUUUAAAUGGAUAAAUCUUUGGAUUAAGACAGUUUUAAGUGGUAACAUUUACCAAAAAUAUGAACUAGCAUUUUAAAUUAAUAGGCAUAGGUACUUCUUUAAUUUACUGACGGAGAAAGUUCUGCUUUAAGAAAAAAAUGUCUGCCUUGCCAACAGGACGUCAGACUCGUAAUUUUAAACAAUGGAAUAAACACCCAAAAGUUAUUCUAGCCUGUAUAUGUAACUCUAUUGACUGGCCGUUAAGUAUCUAAUUGAUCAGCAUUAUUAUUAUGUGGCCAGGCUAGACUAGACAACAGUUUUGGAGGAGAACAGUCAAUUAUACAGCUGGAAAUUAAGGUAAGACUAUAAACAAUUCAUAAAAAUAGCUUACAAUAAAUAAGAUUGAUUGACACUGGGGACCAACAUCACCCCCCUGUCUUUUAUGGCAAACUCCUGUUGCCAUAUAAACAACAAAUGUUACGGUAUUUUAUAAAAACACUUGUAGAACACUUACAGUGUGAGCGCUUAAAUGAGCAUAUACGGUAUCCGUUUUCUACAACAAAAUGUAAUAAGACAUAAAAAAUAAGUGUAUCAUAUUAGAGCAAUCAUUCAAAACAUCAAAAGUGUGAACACUUAACAUGGCACAUCCUAAUUGAAAGCAACAAUUUGGACAUAAAAGGCGCGAACACUUAACGGUGCAUAUACAUUGUACUGUUAUAAGAAGAACAAUCUGAACAUUAAAAACUUAACGAGACAUAUACUCUUUUUAGAGGAGCAAUUUGAACACUUAAAGUCUGAACACUUAACAGGGCAUACCCUAUUACUAGCGAAAUAAUAUGAACAUUCAACAAGAGAACCAAAACAAAACUGCCCACUCUUUUUUAGGCGCUUUGCCCCCAUUUUAUCCGGUUCAUGGUCCUUUUGACGUCGCUGGUCCCCAACCUUCUGCACUGUUACCUCAAGGUUUUUUAUUGCCCUACUGUUCCACUCGACGGCUGAUAUCAAUUUGCCGAUGGAGCUUUCGAUCGUCUUCUCCAGCUGGAAUAGAGCGGUCGCAACUAAACUGGGCUCCUGUGUAGCUUCCUGUUCCGUCUGCGUGCUUGCUGCCUUCGACACCACUCGCUUUGGCUCGUCCAUCACUGGUGUGUUUAACCUUGAACUAAAGCCUGGAGCUAAUGCGCACACCUUAUGUUGACUGAAGUCAUUUUGUCCGCCUUGGGCUGGGGUCGCCUGAGGAACUCCAAGAUUGGCACUGGUAAUCACUGGUGUGGGUAGAUAGGUUGUAAACCCUGACCCUACACUGACACUGACAUUGGCACUGGAAAUCACUGGUGCGGGUAGAUAGAUUGGAAACUCCGACCCUACACUGACUGUUGCGGGACUUUGAUAGAAGUCAUCAAACACAUCGAAAUUGUCCAAAUCCUGCUCAAAGGGAACAGUUUUGGAGGUCUCAAAUCUGUUGAACUCUGGACUUGUCGGUGUGUACGGCAAAGCUGUCCCGGUAGACAUGCCGGGUCCAUUAAACAGGUUGGCAAAGACUUGCGGUGUCAUCUUCACAUUAACUAGUUCGCCUUGGCCUUGGUAGAUAGUCUCGUGCGCAGCAAGCUCGUAAUCCACUCCCUCUUGGACCUCCUUGGGGUGUGUAUUCUCGAUUAGGUACCUACUUUGGUCUCCACCUCCCUGCAUUGCUGCCAACACUGCAUGCUUCUCAUAGUCCGUCACAUGCUUAUUCAAAGCUUCUCUCGAUGAGCACCUAAACAAGCACAGAGAGCAAUAGAACGGUGCUUGAUUUAAAGGGAAAUGGUGCUUUUUGACGUGGUCGGUCAUCCUGUACCUCUCAUUCACAAAACUCGUCCUGUUUCUCUUACAAUGAAUGCACGAGAAAAGAGGCCGCUUUCUCAAUCUCUGCCCAUACUCCAUCAUCUGCAAAUACACAAUCAUUGAUUUCGGUCUUAAUUUAAAGUCCGUACUCUCAAAAGUCACUUGAAAACUUAAUUUAUGUUUGUUAAUGUGCAUUUCUUGCUGGGAAUUUUGUGUAACACUAUGAUUUGCAUUUAAGCUGUCGUGUCACUAUUUCGGUUUGUUUGUGUGUGUUUUUUUUAAAUUACACCCGCGAUUCGCGUACAGUCUUUAAUAAGAUUGAUGUUUUUUUCACUUUAAAUUCGCGUCUCACAAUCGCACCUAACUCACACAAAAGUAUUUAGAUAACAAAGUCUUUCAACAAGUUGAGUCACACACAAAAAUAAAUAAAAAUCAAGACACGUAAUAGGACAGAUUACUAUAAGUUCUUCCGUGCUCCAUCAAUCCAUUUCAGAAGGUUAGUACCCGUAUAUGGCUUCAACUUGUUGUGAUGAACUACUUUCUCCGGGCCUUUUUUCUCAACUGGAUCACAAAGUUAAUCUCAGAUAUCUUUACCUUCACCAACUUUACCAAAAACGGACCAUCAAAGGCUUUCUGUACUUUUGCACUUAUACCGACUCUUCGCGUUUCAUGUAACAGCCAAACCAUGUCACCAACUUCGUACUUGUGGAAGGAGAGGCGCGCAUCGUACACCUCUUUACUGCGCUUUGCAUUUGCCUCCAAAUGCCUUCUUGCAACCUCAUGUGCCCUCCGCAUGCGCCCUCUAAUUUGAACUACAAAAUCAGAUGGGUUUCCAGUCUCGUUUGCAACCUUUAUGUGACCAAACAUAACGUCCGCCGGUAACAGACCUCUCGGCCAAGCACGACCAUGUUUGGCGAUAACCUUGUUGACUUACAAGGGGUCGCUCUGUAUGCUCCCGCCAGACAACCCAGGUACAGAUCCCAAUCUUUCUCCUCGUCAGUGAGAUAUGCUCUGACCAUCUUUAUGAGGGACCGGUUGAAUCUUUAGACCUGACCGUUUCCCCGAGGAUUGCGAGGACUAAUGCAAGUCUUUUUUGUAAUUUCGUCGCUAGACGUAAACUUGUACCUGUCUGAUGUAAGUUUCAUUAUUUGGUUUUGCAUAUAAUUCAUUAAUAUUUUCACAUCUUCCUCUUCAGGUUACUCUUUUGGUUUUCGUGUGUCCGUGGGAACUAUAACUGCUUGAUAUUCCAUUUUUCGAAUAAAAUGGGUCAAUUGUGUGUCAGCUCCUUUGGCGCCUGUUGUUUGAACAAACUGGAUAUAUAGUCAUCUCUCUGGUUGUGACAGGGACCACUGCUAUGUGUGUUUCUGUUUCAUGCAUUUCCAGGACACCCCGGGAAUGCUGUUCCACAAUGUGAUUGUAGCAUUUCAUUAUUGUCGGAAACUCUGUCACCAUACACCAGACAGGUAUAACUUGCUGGUCAGAAUCAAGCUUUUGCCUUGUGCUGCCAUGGUCGGUGUCAGUGAAUGUGUGGUUCUUCUUGCAAUACUAAGCAUUCCAUUAUUGUUGUUGAGAUGCCCACCUGGGUCAUUUCUGUUGAGCCCUAUCAAGGAGAUCUCCACCGAGGCUAAAAUGGCCCUUGAGAUGCCCACCUGGGUCAUUUCUGUUGAGCCCUAUCAAGUAGAUCUCCACUGUUCUCUUCAGCAAUGCUUUACAGUGAUACCUCACACUUGUCUGGUCCAUGAACCCUUUAUCACUUUGAUAGGUAUUUAAUCCUUUACUCCUUAGAUAUGUAUUUUGACACAUUUGUAGUCCCUUCAAAGUUAAAUUCAAUUUAAAGACCUUAUUGCUAGAUUCAAGUUUUAAAAGCUUUAUUUCCAACUCUUAGAUACAGAUGAGCAGCAAACAGCAUAGAACCUAAACAAACUGUGAGUUACUCGCAGGCUGUUCUGGUUUUAAGCUGUUUGCACAUAGCCAUUUCCUUGUUUGUUUCUGAGUUGUAAAGGGUUAUGGCAUAAACCCUCCAACCAUCAAAGAAUCCCAUUGGAUUAGAAAUUCACAAUUUCAGAUGAUUCAACAGUUUUUUCUCUUCGAGAUUUUAUGACUGGUUUGAUUAUGUAAUUUGUUGUACAAAUUUUUUAUUUUCCAUGGAAAGUAACAGCCUUUUCACUGCAGAGUCCGAAAAAUAAUUGGUUUGAUAUAGCUAAAAAAAUAUGCUGGCAAUCGAAUUUCAAUCAAACCUAAAGCAUGUUUUCUAUGCUGUACAUGAAUCGCAUGGUACUUUAUCUUUAUUGUAUAAGAGGACCAAGACUGUGCGCUCCACAAAAUGUGCACUUUGACCAACUCAGCUUUAUGCACAUUAAGUUGUAUUUGUUUAUUAAUAUUGUAUGAUGAUUAAACCAUUUAUCAAAUUAUGGUAUGGGCAUCAGGGAAACAGACAAAGCCCUCCUUGACUUUAGCUUGCCCAUCAAAUUUCUGCCCAUACUGGAUUUUUGCUAUGAAGAGUCAUCCUUUUAUCGAAAAAUUCUGUAAAAGCAGAAAGUUUCAUCCCUGAUUAGCAUUCACAACUGCACAGGCUGAUCAGGGACAGCACUUUACGCAUGGAUUCAGUCCAUUGUUCACAGAACGCUGCUUAAAUAUUUGGCUCUGCACAUUAGUGGGGUCUGUAUCUUGAGGUUCUGGCAAGUGGCACAUGCUUGGAGCAGUGUUAUAUUGUAUUCAUUGUAUAUGAGUGGCGCGCUGUAGAUAUGGGGUUUAAUGCAUUUGCGUAGUAUCGUCCUAGAUAAGCCUGUGCAGUCCCCACAGGCUAAUCAGGGACGACACUUUCCACCUAAACUUAAUUUGUGCUAAGAAGAGACUUUCUGUAAACGGAAAAUGCAACAAAAAAAGUGGAAAAUGUCAUCCCUGAUUAGCCUGUGUGGACUGCACAGGCUAAUCUGGGACUACACUUUACGCACAUGCAUUAAACCCUCUUUUCACAGAGCACUGUCCAUAUCCUUAAUAAAUACAGGCACAAAAUUGCCUUAAUUUCCAAAAUCAUAUCAAAAUGUAUUUUAUUUAAUUAUUUUUUAAGCAUAAUUUUGGUCUAGGAAUUAAUGGUUUUUGUAAGCUCAAAUCUGCUCAUAUGAGGCAAUUAAUUGGUGAUUCACGAAUGAAGUGUUGUGUUUAGUUGUUUUAACACAAUUCACACUGAGUCAAAACAGGGAUAAUCAAACAUGACAUGUUAUAUUUUGGGAAAGAUCUUGUUAGGUUAAAACACUGGAGCAGUAUUUGGAUAUUUAUUUUUUUAUUCUGGGCCAUACUUUUGAAACAUUUAUGACAAGUGAGGGAAAUCCAUAAUACGGGCAUUCAUGAUAAUGAAGUAACAUGCAAAGAUUAUGUUACUUGUUCUUUUGUUGUUUUUUGCUGGCUAAAACACUUUCCACAUGCAUCCAGCAACCUUGUCAUAGACUACGCAUCUAAUUAUGAAUCAAGUAAUUUUGUUUUUUUCCUGAAAAAUAUUCAGAAAUCUACCUUUGUGAUUGAAUUCAUAUGUUAAUGUUAUUUCUUUAAGACCAUAAACAAGCAAAGGUGUCAUAUGAUAAUCAUUUGAUUUAUUGUUAUUUUUGUUGUAUUAUUUCAGUUGUUAACCAUUUUGUGUUUGUUAUGUUGUUUUUUCGACAUUGGUUUCCAAAGAUUUCUGCACAUGCUAUGUAUACAUCAUUGAACCUAUUUGUAUGUUUGGGUUAAAAAAAAAAUUGUGUAUUGAUGAUCAUUUUUAUGACCCUUCGAAGAAGAGGGGGUAUAUUGUUUUGCACAUGUCGGUCAGUCCGUCCACCAAAUGGUUUUCGGAUGAUAACUCAAAAACGCUAAAGAUCAUGAAACUUCAUAGAGAUCAUGACAGGCAGAUGACCCCUAUUGAUUUUCAGGUCACUAGGUCAAAGGUCAAGGUCACAGUGAUUCGAAAUAGUAAAAUGGUUUCCGGAUGAUAACUCAAGAACGCUUAGGCCCAGGAUCAUGAAACUUCAUAGGUACAUUGAUCAUGACUGGCAGAUGACCCCUAUUGAUUUUCAGGUCACUAGGUCAAAUGUCAAGGUCACAGUGACUCGAAACAGUAAAAUAGUUUCCGGAUAACUCAAGAAUGCUUAUGCCUAGGAUCAUGAAACUUCAUAGAUACAUUGAUCAUGACUGGCAGAUGACCCCUAUUGAUUUUCAGGUCACUAGGUCAAAGAUCAAGGUCACAGUGACUCGAAACAGUAAAAUGGUUUCCAGAUGAUAACUCAAGAACGCUUAGGCCUAGAAUCAUGAAACUUCAUUGGUACAUUGAUCAUGACUGGCAGUGACACCUAUUGAUUUUAAGGUCGCUAGGUCAAAGGUCAAGGUCACAGUGACUCCAAACAGUAAAAUGCUUUCCGGAUGAUAACUCAAUAAUGCUAAGGCCUAGGAUCAUGAAACUUCAUAGGUACAUUGAUCAUGACAGGCAGAUGACCCCUAUUGAUUUUCAGGUCACUAGGUCAAAUGUCAGGGUCACAAUGACUCAAAACAGUAAAAUGGUUUCCGGAUGAUAACUCAAGAACGCUUAGGCCUAGGAUCAUGAAACUUCAUAGGUACAUUGAUCAUGACUAGCAGAUGAUCCCUAACGAUUUUAAGGUCACUAGGUCAAAGGUCAAGGUCACAGUGACAAAAAACGGAUUUACACAAUGCCAAUGACAGCAUAUUUGGGGGGCCUGCGUGUUUUAUUUACUUGAAGAUGCACUUAUUUGACUUCUAUUAUUUUCUUGUAGUGCAAGAAUGGAAUGUUGUUUAUGUGAAUUAUACGAUUGCUUGAGUAUUGUUGAUAAACUUGAAAAUGGGUCUUUUAAGAUAAUAUCAUUGUAUCACAUUCUGAUGAAAUUUAUCUAACAAAAGAAUUUAAGGAGAUUGCUUAAGAAGACACAAUAAUGUUUUGAAUGCACUGUUUGACCAUAUUUAUACAAGUUUAUGCGAGAUUCUUUUUAUUAUUUUACAGUUUCCUUUUAAAAUGACUUAACGAUAUCCUAUUGUUUAUAAUUUCAACUUCUUCUUUACCACAUGAUGCUCUUGAUCACUGCCUUUUUGCAUGUAUUGGGUACCUGUACAAUGAUUAUUCUGUUCUUUGUCUAUAAACCAAUCAGAUAUCAAGACUAGUAUUCUUAAGAUUACAAUGUGUGCUGCAUACAACUGUGCUGCUGUCAUAUAUGAAGUUCAAUUUUAUAUUUUGAUGUAAUUAUUGUUACUGUUGGUGUUUCAGAAAAUAAAAGCUUGAAACAUUU